rnacentral:rRNA from 1 species
CUCGUAGGUGGCCAACUAAGUCAGACGUGAAAUCCCUCAGCUUAACUGGGGAACUGCGUCUGAUACUGGGUGGCUUGAGAUUGGGAGAGGGAUGCGGAAUUCCAGGUGUAGCGGUGAAAUGCGUAGAUAUCUGGAGGAACACCGGUGGCGAAGGCGGCAUCCUGGACCAACACUGACACUGAGGAGCGAAAGCCAGGGGAGCAAACG